AUGAAGGGCGCAGGGCGGAUGCCUUGGCACUGAGAGCCGAUGAAGGACGUGACAAGCUGCGAAAAGCUUCGGGGAGGGGCAAAUACCCAUUGAUCCGGAGAUCUCCGAAUGGGGCAACCCACACAGACAGACUCUGUGUACCGUAUGAUGAAUCCAUAGUCAUACGGAGGUAAGCCGGUAAACUGAAACAUCUAAGUAGCCGGAGGAAAAGAAAGAAAACUCGAUCCCCCCAGUAGCGGCGAGCGAACGGGGGACAGUCCAAACCGCGGUGCAUGCACCGCGGGGUUGCGGGCAGCGAUACUGCAGCCACAAGGAUAGCCGAAUGGGUUUGGGAAACCCAUCCAUAGAACGUGAGAGACGUGUAGGCGAAAUCCGAAGGGCGCACAGCUGUACCAGAGUACCACGGGACACGGGAAACCCUGUGGGAAGCCGGAGGGACCACCCUCCAAGACUAAAUACUCUCAGUGACCGAUAGCGCAUAGUACUGUGAAGGAAAGGUGAAAAGGACCCCGGGAGGGGAGUGAAAGAGAACCUGAAACCCUGUGUCUUCAAACUGUGGGAGAGCAAAAGCUCGACCGCGUACUUUUUGUAGAACGGUCCGGCGAGUUGCCGGUGCUGGCGAGGUUAAGCACUUAAGAAGGUGCGGAGCCGAAGGGAAACCAAGUCUUAAGAGGGCGUCCAGUCAGCAGCGGCAGACCCGAAACCGGGUGAUCUACCCAUGGCCAGGAUGAAGCUGCCGUAAGAGGCAGUGGAGGUCCGAACGCACAUCUGUUGAAAAAGGUGGCGAUGAGCUGUGGGUAGGGGAGAAAUUCCAAUCGAACCCGGAGAUAGCUGGUUCUCCUCGAAACAGCUUUAGGGCUGUCCUCGUUACAGACUUGCGGAGGUAGAGCACUGAAUUUGCAAGGGAACGUCAAAGUUUACCAAGCGAUAUCAAACUCCGAAUGCCGUAAAGCCGAUUAACGGGAGUCAGACUGCACGAGAUAAGUUGGGCGGUCAAAAGGGAAAGAGCCCAGACCCGCAGCUAAGGUCCCCAAGUGCGUGUUAAGUGGUAAAGGAUGUGGGAUUUCACAGACAACCAGGACGUUGGCUCAGAAGCAGCCAUACAUUCAAAGAGUGCGUAACAGCUCACUGGUCGAGAGGUCCCGCGCCGAAAAUGUCCGGGGCUGAAACACGACACCGAAGCUCGGGAAUGUAGC
rnacentral:rRNA from 1 species